rnacentral:rRNA from 1 species
GACGAACGCUGGCGGCGUGCUUAACACAUGCAAGUCGAACGGAAAGGCCUCUUUCGGGGGGUACUCGAGUGGCGAACGGGUGAGUAACACGUGGGUAACCUGCCCUUGACUUUGGGAUAACUUCAGGAAACUGGGGCUAAUACCGGAUAGGAGCUCCUGCUGCAUGGUGGGGGUUGGAAAGUUUCGGCGGUUGGGGAUGGACUCGCGGCUUAUCAGCUUGUUGGUGGGGUAGUGGCUUACCAAGGCUUUGACGGGUAGCCGGCCUGAGAGGGUGACCGGCCACAUUGGGACUGAGAUACGGCCCAGACUCCUACGGGAGGCAGCAGUGGGGAAUAUUGCACAAUGGGUGGAAGCCUGAUGCAGCAACGCCGGGUGCGGGAUGACGGCCUUCGGGUUGUAAACCGCUUUCGCUCAUGACGAAGCUUUGUGUGACGGUAGUGGGUAAAGAAGCACCGGCUAACUACGUG